UAGGGAAUCUUCCGCAAUGGGCGAAAGCUUGACGGAGCAACGCCGCGUGAGUGAUGAAGGUCUUCGGAUCGUAAAACUCUGUUAUUAGGGAAGAACAAAUGUGUAAGUAACUAUGCACGUCUUGACGGUACCUAAUCAGAAAGCCACGGCUAACUACGUGCCAGCAGCCGCGGUAAUACGUAGGUGGCAAGCGUUAUCCGGAAUUAUUGGGCGUAAAGCGCGCGUAGGCGGUUUUUUAAGUCUGAUGUGAAAGCCCACGGCUCAACUGUGGAGGGUCAUUGGAAACUGGAAAACUUGAGUGCAGAAGAGGAAAGUGGAAUUCCAUGUGUAGCGGUGAAAUGCGCAGAGAUAUGGAGGAACACCAGUGGCGAAGGCGACUUUCUGGUCUGUAACUGACGCUGAUGUGCGAAAGCGUGGGGAUCAAACAGGAUUAGAUACCCUGGUAGUCCACGCCGUAAACGAUGAGUGCUAAGUGUUAGGGGGUUUCCGCCCCUUAGUGCUGCAGCUAACGCAUUAAGCACUCCGCCUGGGGAGUACGACCGCAAGGUUG
rnacentral:rRNA from 1 species